UUAUAUUUAAACGUGUAUAGUAUUUAGUAUUUGGUAUCUCAGGCUGUCGUGAUUUUUUCAGUGUUCCCUUCUUUUUGCCCCUCACAGUCACAGAAGUGUUCUAGACUCGAACCUGUCUCCGUAACGCCAUGCACCGCAUCUAAAGAUCGCGUACCUUUCAGCUGAGGUCCCUGCUCAUGUUUGUGAUUCACCGGAUUCAGGAACAAGGAUGGGAACUGAGACCGAAAUUUUAUCACUACAUCUGGAGUCAGUUUGCUCCGCAUGGACAUUUCAUUUCACGUGAAUUUCAAUUCACGAUCAUUAAACCUCCAAGCUUCUGAGAAAGCUCUUCUCAGAGGUUAGCAGACCUCUUCCUUGAUGCUGCUCAUAGUCAUAUACGGGAAGUCAACACCAUAUUGACUUUUUUGGUGGGUAAACUAUUUGACCAAGGUCUACUUAAGAAAAAAUGUUUUACUUCAACAUGUUCCUAGAGCCUGUAUCAUCAAAGGAUGCUGCCGCUCUGCUUGGACAAGUGAAGUGCUUCUUCCUGUAGAUAUCAGCCUUAACUGGAAGCCGCUGCCACAGAUGACAUUGCUGAAUGUUAAAAAUAAACUGAGCAAAUUACAAAUGAAUGAGGUGGCAGGCGAGGAAAACAAAGGAAGCAAAAAGGGUGAAAACCUGAACGACAAACUCAACACAGAAAACCCAAUAAAAAUGUGCAAAGAUUA